rnacentral:lncRNA from 1 species
UUUACGAAUUAACAGUUGUAAAAUUAUGUAGUAAAAUAGAUGAAAUCAUAUUAUAUUAAUUUAUAAAACAAAAAUGGACAAAUCAUAAGAAUGUAAUCAUUUUUGCUUCAAACAUGUGGAAUAGCCAACAAUAAUCCAAAACUAAACUACAAACGCGAUGUUUUUACACAAAUUUUCCACAAUAACAUUCAAAACAAGAACAAAAACUGGAAAAGUAGAGAAUAGGGACAACAAAGAGAAUUCAGGAAUUCGAACUUAAAAAUACAAGUCCGUACCUUAAACUCAUUUAUCUUAACCAUGAAACCUCGUGGCUACCAAUUCAUACUAUUCGUUUGCCUAUUAUGUAUAUAUAAAGGUAGAAGCCCUGUGUGUCUGUUGUACCGAUGUAUAUCAUAUAUUCAUUUAUAUAUAUAAAAUAGACAUUCAAAUCGUAAUCGAUUGUCAGCCCAGAGGUUUCGUCGAUAUGUUGAUGUAAGUAACACGUUUCAGAAUUCAUGAACGGGUUCGAAUCCCAGUGAAAGCAUAUAGAAAUCACAAAAAUGAAAGGUAAGUUUUUAAAACAAUUUCAU